rnacentral:rRNA from 1 species
UACAGAGGCCUCAAGCGUUGUUCGGAAUCACUGGGCGUAAAGGGUGCGUAGGCGGCGCGGAAAGUCAGGGGUGAAAUCCCGGAGCUCAACUCCGGAACUGCCUUUGAUACUCCCGCGCUUGAGAACUGGAGGGGACAUCGGAAUUCACGGUGGAGCAGUGAAAUGCGUGGAUAUCGUGAGGAACACUAGUGGCGAAGGCGGAUGUCUGGACAGUAUCUGACGCUGAGGCACGAAGGCCAGGGGAGCGAACGGGAUUAGAUACCCCGGUAGUCCUGGCAGUAAACGGUGCACGCUUGGUAUGGGGGGAAUCGACCCCUCCCGUGCCGGAGCUAACGCGUUAAGCGUGCCGCCUGGGAAGUACGGUCGCAAGAUUAAA